rnacentral:rRNA from 1 species
CAUAACCUUUAGCUAAACCAGUAUUAAAGGCAACGCCUGCCCAGUGAAUAAUUAAACGGCCGCGGUACCCUAACCGUGCAAAGGUAGCGUAAUCAUUUGUCUAUUAAUUGUAGACCCGUAUGAAAGGCAUAAUGAGGGUUUAACUGUCUCUUUUAGUAAAUCAAUUAAACUGAUCUCUUAGUCCAAAAGCUAGGAUACCAACAUAAGACCAGAAGACCCUGUGAAACUUUAACUAAAAUAUUAAAGCCUAUAAUAACUACUUUAGGUUGGGGCGACCUUGGAAAAUAAAAGAACUUCCACACACAUAUUAUAUAAUAAUAUUUAACCGGCCAACAAGCCUAAAACGACCCAGCACAGCUGAUAAUUGAACCAAGCUACUCCAGGGAUAACAGCGCUAUCUUCUUCAAGAGCCCAUAUCAAAAAGAAGGUUUACGACCUCGAUGUUGGAUCAGGACAUCCUAAUGGUGCAACCGCUAUUAAGGGUUCGUUUGUUCAACGAUUAACAGUCCUACGUGAUCU